AUUGAACGCUGGCGGCAUGCCUUACACAUGCAAGUCGAACGGCAGCACGGGUGCUUGCACCUGGUGGCGAGUGGCGAACGGGUGAGUAAUACAUCGGAACAUGUCCUGUAGUGGGGGAUAGCCCGGCGAAAGCCGGAUUAAUACCGCAUACGAACUACGGAAGAAAGCGGGGGACCUUCGGGCCUCGCGUUAUAGGGUCGGCCGAUGGCUGAUUAGCUAGUUGGUGGGGUAAAGGCCUACCAAGGCGACGAUCAGUAGCCGGUCUGAGAGGACGACCAGCCACACUGGGACUGAGACACGGCCCAGACUCCUACGGGAGGCAGCAGUGGGGAAUUUUGGACAAUGGGCGAAAGCCUGAUCCAGCAAUGCCGCGUGUGUGAAGAAGGCCUUCGGGUUGUAAAGCACUUUUGUCCGGAAAGAAAACCUUGGCCCUAAUACGGUCAGGGGAUGACGGUACCGGAAGAAUAAGCACCGGCUAACUACGUG
rnacentral:rRNA from 1 species